rnacentral:lncRNA from 1 species
UUAUUCAAGCAUUGGAUGACUUGAAAUAAAUGAAAGCCCAAAGCCCAAACAACACAAAGAGGGCCGGCCACAUUAGGUAUAGAGAGAGAGAGAGAGGUCAAAUGUUGACUUGUUUUCUUUUGGCUAUAAAAGGAACUUUAUAGCAAAUGUUUCAUGAGGGUUUUUUGUGUGUUUAGAACAACAAAUAGGCAAAAGAAUAUCUCUCAAAACCACAACAAAGGGCCGGCCACCUAGGGGAUGAAAUAGCUAACAAUCUUUCACCCUUUUGGUUAUUCCUUCAUCCUUCUCA